GAUGACAUAAAGUAAAGAGGACAUGACAACCUUUCUAGUGCUGGUUCCACUAAGUAAAGUUAAGAGGAGCAUCCAAUAAGAAGCCAUGCCAAAAAUGAAACAAGUAUGACAUCCUUCUACUCAUCUGAGAGGGUAGUAACUGUAGAUAAUUACUGACUCAGACCAUGAUGAUCUAUGUGAACAUGGAAAAGUGGAUGUACAAAUAACAAUAGCGGUGGUGAUGAAGAUGAUGAUGCUGAUAACAAUGAUGAUGAUACAUCUAUGCUUGCAUCAGUCAGAAUUGCUUGUAUUUUUUAUUGAGUGAGUGUAUAUCAUGGUUCCGUAUAGUUCUUGCUGCAGGAAGUAUAUAGAACUUCCUGUACACACAUGAAGUUCACACAACCGCAAAGUAACAGUACAAGCAUCAUUUUAGGAAAAUUGAGGUAAUAGCACAAUGACAACCAUGGUACCCUUCCCAGUCACAGCACCUCCAUAAUCUCACAGCCAUAUACUAAAUAUAUUAAAAUGAAUUUACUAGGAAUUUAGGAAAGAUGGUGAAAAGAAGGGAAAAGUACAGUGCCAAUCAAUAACAUUAUGAAUGGAAUUUCAAGAAGAUAAAAUUGCCAAUAAAAAGGAAUAAAGUGGAUUGAGAAUUCAGUCUAUUCUACCAAUUAUAUUUUACUGAGGAAAAUAUAAACAUAGAAGAAAAAAGAAAAUAAUGAAACCCAUAUAAAUGUACUAAGAAAAACAAAGCAGAAAAAGAAUAAUUUAGUAGGUAGGUUAAACUACCAUUUCAAGUGAACAUUUGGUUUAUCAAAGAAGCAAAACUCAAGUUGUAUAGAUGAUAUAUUUAAAAAUGAAAAAAGUAGUGAUAUAUUUCUCUAAUUAAAGAAAAAAACCCAACUACCUCUUAACUUGAUUCAUGAGAUUCAUAAUUUUAUCAUAAAUAGAUAUGUACUUUUAAAAGAUAGCUAUUUUCAACUAUUUGCAGGCAAAUAUCAAUGCUUCUAUAUUAAAGUUGAUAAAGUCAGUUUUACAAGAGACAGAUUAUAAGUGUUACUUUAACUUUUGCAAAAAAAUAUUUGAAUCUUAAUAGACAAAGAAAAAUAUAUUGUUGAAGUAAUCAACUCUGUCUUCUUUCUAGCAUAAAAAAAAUUGCUUUGAUGUGUCCAGACCAACUUCCUUUCAGGGAAAUGAUACACCAAUAUAAUAUAUUUUCAUUAGAUGUUGACUGGCGACCCCCUGACAUGUCUGGUAUCUUUUGAAGGCAAUGUUCCCUCCAGUGAUGCUGGACGGCAUUAUUGUUACCAGAGAAUGUCUAUGUUGCUUUGAUCUACAUGGUAGCAUCCCCUUUCUUUUUUCAUCAUCCACGCAGCCACCAUAAUAAGCUGAGAGCAGCUGUAACUACUCCAACCAUGUAACAAGGAUUUCAUUUUAACCCUUACUGAAGAUUUGCUCUCAGUUUUGACCUUUCUCUCAGAUAUAUCUUCCAUAUUCACAAUGAAGCAUUUUCUCUUUCACCUUUCCUUUCUAAAUCCAAUACAAGCCAAGAAGGACAUUGUGGAUUAAGCCACAAGCCCAUGACAUCCUACCUCGAUUGGGAUGUCAUACACUAUACGCUGUGACCUUCAUUCUCACCUCACCUGGUUCUCCAAGUCUUUCCCAUUUUAUGCUCUUCCUUUCAUAAGUUACACUCCAUAGUUCCCAAGGUCCCAUUUUUUGUCAAGUCAAAAGAUCAGGGCAUUGCAUUGCCACUGCAAUAUGGCUUGCGAAUACAAGGGAUAUCUUCAAAUCCACUUGCUCCUUCCAGCUUUUAAGUACUAUGCAGAAGUCUGGGUAUUUGAUAAAUAAUAAUAAUAUGGAAGAUCUCUCUUUCCCUUUCU
rnacentral:lncRNA from 1 species